UUGGGAGGCUGUGUGUUUCCAGGAAUUUAUCCAUUUCCUCUAGAUUUUCUAAUUUGUGUGCUUAGAGAUGUUCUUAAUAAUCUCUGAGGAUCUUUGUAUUUCUGUAGGAUCACUUGUAAUGCCAUUUGUCACUUCUGAUUGUACUUAUUUGGAUAUUCUUUUAUUUCUUUUUCAUUGUUAAGAUAAGUAGGG